GGGUGAGUAACACGUGGAUAACCUACCUAUAAGACUGGGAUAACUUCGGGAAACCGGAGCUAAUACCGGAUAAUAUAUUGAACCGCAUGGUUCAAUAGUGAAAGACGGUUUUGCUGUCACUUAUAGAUGGAUCCGCGCCGCAUUAGCUAGUUAGUAAGGUAACGGCUUACCAAGGCAACGAUGCGUAGCCGACCUGAGAGGGUGAUCGGCCACACUGGAACUGAGACACGGUCCAG
rnacentral:rRNA from 1 species